GACGAACGCUGGCGGCGUGCUUAACACAUGCAAGUCGAACGAUGAUCUCCCGCUUGCGGGGGUGAUUAGUGGCGAACGGGUGAGUAAUACGUGAGUAACCUGCCCUUGACUCUGGGAUAAGCCUGGGAAACCGGGUCUAAUACUGGAUACUACUUCCUGCCGCAUGGUGGGGGGUGGAAAGGGUUUUACUGGUUUUGGAUGGGCUCACGGCCUAUCAGCUUGUUGGUGGAGUAAUGGCUCACCAAGGCGACGACGGGUAGCCGGCCUGAGAGGGUGACCGGCCGCACUGGGACUGAGACACGGCCCAGACUCCUACGGGAGGCAGCAGUGGGGAAUAUUGCACAAUGGGCGGAAGCCUGAUGCAGCGACGCCGCGUGAGGGAUGACGGCCUUCGGGUUGGAAACCUCUUUCAGCAGGGAAGAAGCCACAAGUGACGGUACCUGCAGAAGAAGCGCCGGCUAACUACGUG
rnacentral:rRNA from 1 species